rnacentral:lncRNA from 1 species
UCUGGAAUGCUGCUGUGUUAUAAAUGGAACUCUCAACCAAUGAAAAUAAAGAUAUGUAGUACAGCCAAAACACACAAAGUAAUCCCUACAGUCCUGUUUCAUUUCAAAGGCCUUUUAAAUAAUUAAAAAUAGACAAAUGAAACAUAUUCUCUCUUUAGUAGAUAUAAGUAUUUGUUAAAACAUUCUAGUGGAGAUUCCUUCAACAAUAGAUAGCAAAAUAGAAAGCUGCUCAAGAAUAUCAAAAGUUUAAAAGUAAACAGGAACUUCAUUGUUGGAGAUAUUCCUUUACACAUGCAGCUAGAAUUUAAACAGUUUAUGUUGCUAAAAUAACUUUUAAAUGGACACUAGAUAAAGUAUCAGGUAUAUGCAGUACCUGACAUAUGCCAAAACACACAUGGAUAAAAUUAUGAGGCCUGAGACAUUUUCAGGCUUUAGUGAUUUACACACUGCAGAAUGAAUGGUGCUCACAGAGAAACCCUAUUGAUGUGUAAACUUUUUGAUGGUAUACACCACAUGGACUUGAUGGCAAAUGGUGGAAAACAGUGGCAUUCUCCAUGCUGGUUGGUGGAGAUAUAUCUAUGGCAAACAGUGGCAUUUAGAGAAAAACAGUUGCAUAUUUUACACUGAUUACCACAACAGUUAUGGUAGUCUGUGUUCAGACCUUAUGUUUUGUUCACAGGAGAUAACUCCUGAGGCAAGUACAAAUUUUGUAUCAUUAUGUCCCUUUUAUUCUCAAAACAUACCGUCUGUGCAAAUCUGGUUUGAGCAUCUCCUGAAUCCUGGAGAUCGACCUUUAUCUAAGGUCAAGCUAUUACAGCUGAAAAUGAUCAUGUUACAUGACCUGGUGGUUCUGGGAUAUUUAUUGUCAUUCACACAUGUUUAUAAAGGACCCAUUGACCUGUAGAUUACAGGGAGCACUUUGGUAAAAAUUAUUGAACUAGAAAGAAUACCUAAUGAAUAACUGAGAUAUAGUGGAUUAAUGUUGUUGUUUAACUUUUUAUAAAUAAUGUAUUCUGUGUUUCAAUUUGAAUGUUUUUUAAAACAAAGAUGUUGCACAGAUGAAAAUGCUUCUAUAUAAUAUUUCAUGUCUUAAUUGCUAAAAUAAAGGAAAUGCUGAUUGUAAUCUACAAUGGAUAAGAAUACCCGGCAAUAUGAGUUUUAAGAACAGAACUAACACCUUCCUACAAAACAGAAAUCAUGUAUAAUGUGGGAAGAAGUGAAACUGCUCCAAAGGGACAAAAAGAAACUGACAACAGUUGGCAACCAAAACAAUGAUUUAGGUGUUUUAUGAAACAACUGAAAAAUAUAUCUGCCUAUCACUGAUCUGUUUCAAUUCAUUAUUCUAAAAUAAAUUUCUUUAUUUUGUAAUAAAUAAGCGUGAUCUGUAAAUAGUUUGCUUUGAAUUUCUCUUUCUUGGUUUUCAUUGACUUAUUAUGUACUAAUAAUACUGUAUUAUGUUUUAGGAAACAUCCCUUUUAACAGUUAAUGGUACUGUUCUAAUUGAAAGAUGGACAAGUUCAUUAUAGAAAUUUAGCAGUGUAAGUGUUAAAAGGUUUGCUUUGAUAGAUGAUGUAAUAAUGUCUUAUUAGUGCUUCAAAACAGUUCUAUUAGCUUGAACAUGCUUGCCAUCCACGUAAAAUAUGACAGUAUAUACUGCUGUGUCAAAAGUGUAAAUGCGUCACAAACCAGCACUAAAUGAUAUUCGUUCCUAAAAAAAUAUUUUUAUAUAUAUUGUUGUGGGCUUACUUUGCAAAUGCAUGGCUUUAAGACUGUGUUUGUGGUGCUGUGCUUCCAAGAAAUCUACCCUUACCUAUUAUCUUUUAUAAAUCAUUGCUAAAACGUAAUAUAAGUGAAUAUGGCGUAUCUGUCGUGUUCUAACCAACAUACAAAAUAUCCAAAAAUACACAAAUCUAACAGAACAUAAAAAAGAGAAAUAACAGAAAAAUCUGAAGUCUAACUGAAUUUAGAACGCAUAUCACAUCAAACUAUGUAUUUCAAGCCGUUCCAUUUCAUUUCAAACCACAGUUUGUGGUUACCAUAUCUUGCCAUCCAAAUUAAUUGCCUUAUUUUUUUCAGUUCACUUAGAGAUACUCAUCUUUAAGAUAAUGUAAGUGCUUUUUUGCAUUGUUUUAAAGAAAAGAAAGUAAUAUUCAAAUCACUGAACUUAGCGCAAAUAUCGGUUAAAAACCAAUAAUUACUGGUAUGUUGUUAGUACCAGGUAGAUAAAU